ensembl:lncRNA
AAAAAUUAGCCAGAGUUCUCUAGGCAAGAGUCUGUAUGCAAGAGCUGUAUUCAGAAGGGGCCAGAACUGUGAUUAUUGUGUUACAUUACCGGGACAUUUCCAUGCUUCACCCAUUAGAGUAAGGAUGGAUGCAGUGAUGGGGCAGAGAGCAAUAAAGGACAAACUAGGGCAGAAGAUCAACCAGGAAUAUACUUUUUUGGAAAACAAGUCUCAGUGAACCGGUAAGAUCAGCCCCUAAUUUAGUAUUUCUUGUCAAAAUGUAGCACAAACUGGUAACAAGAAGCAAGCGUUUUAAUGAGAUCUCCAUUCUGCAAAUGAAUAUGCGUAAAAGUGUACAUAUUCUAUUUUGUAAAAUAGCUAAUAUUCCUAAAUAUUUUGAGGAUUGGAUGCUGCUAUAUGGAUGACACCGAUUAUCUAUUAAACUUAAAAUGUCGCUUUUCAUAUACUCUAACAGAAAUAUAAGAAGGCUGUUUACAGUAUUACAAAAAGUCUGUAAAAUCUGAUACUUUUCUCCCAACAGAGGCCAAUAAAGGAUUCCUCUGUGAGCAAAGCGUAAGAAAGAGCAUAAGAGGAGAAGCAUGGAGUUGUAUUUUCUAGCAUUCGGACAUUUACAAUUUGCUGAGCCAGAGGGUGUAUCCACAUGCUUGUAUUUAAUAAUUCCUGAUAGACUUGCCUGCGUGAAAUUAUUGAAUCAUUUUUUUGCCACGUGCAAUUUGAUAUUUAUCAUAAGCAGAGGCAAAGCUUAUUUAUGCAUUUACAGAAGUUCUUCUCUCUGCUGUUUUUUUUUCCCAGACUUCUUCCUGAUCACUUCCUUUGAGAUCCCCAUGUUCUUGCACAAGCGCUUUUACGAAGUAGGCAGUUGCUGAGUCACGCGUUUGCCGAGUGACUGACAACCUGCGUUUCUCCGAAGAAUUGGUGGACUUGCUCUGCUGCGUAUCAGGCGAGCUGUGCUACACCCCUCGCUUAGGGAAUGAAAGCAUGACGCAGCAUUCUGGCUGAAUUCACUGCAAAUGCUCUAAGCAGGAGAAUGGAAAUGCAUUUAUGUAAAGUAAAUCGAAAUCUAUCCACAUUAAAUCAUUUACUGGCAGUAAUGAUUCAUUUUAUUUAAAUAACAUAAUAGUGUUCACUGCAGUAUGCUGAAUUAGCAGUUUUGCAGUGCAGUUAUUCAGAGGCAAUUUUGCCUGAAUAUAUGCAUCGUUCUAGAGCUGUGAGAGGCAGGCCGCUCUCUUUGGCUAUGGUUUCUGAACAGAGAAAAAUAUGUACAUAACUAGACUGGUUAAAUCUAAAUCUAGAUAAUCUACAGUUUAUGAUACCGAUCUAUAAUAUAUAUUGAAUGGUUUGUGAGGCCAGAAUAAGCCAGAAGAAGCUGUAAACAUUGCUUUCCUUUUCAUAAAUGUAGGAAUGUUUUAUUAUGGAAUCACAAAUCUGUCCAAUACAUUUAGUGCCCCUUCCUAUAGGGUUUUAAAAAUUUUCUUUUCCUUGAAAGCUCAAAUACACGGUUGGAUUGUGACAGACAGAAUGCAGGUUCAAUUUACAGAAAUAUCUACAGCUAUUAUUUCUUUUAAAGUCUUUUAAGUAGCUAGUUUAUAUACCUGCUAGAAGCAUAAUUUUUCCAUAAACAGUGUGGUACUUUACAUUUUGUUUAGCCAUUUGCUUUCCUUGCAAAGUGUAUAGGUAUAAUCUCCUAACUGAGACUGAAUUUUACCUUUGACUCUGAGGGAUUUUGCUGUACAUUGUUUACUUUUUGCAUACAUG